AUACGGAGGGGGUUAGCGUUGUUCGGAAUUACUGGGCGUAAAGCGCACGUAGGCGGACUGGAAAGUUGGGGGUGAAAUCCCGGGGCUCAACCCCGGAACUGCCUCCAAAACUUCCAAUCUAGAGAUCGAGAGAGGUGAGUGGAAUUCCAAGUGUAGAGGUGAAAUUCGUAGAUAUUUGGAGGAACACCAGUGGCGAAGGCGGCUCACUGGCUCGAUACUGACGCUGAGGUGCGAAAGCGUGGGGAGCAAACAGGAGUAGAAACCCCAGUAGUCC
rnacentral:rRNA from 1 species